GUGCUGACAGUGUGGACACACUGUUCCGAGCCGUUGAACUCUAUGUGGUGGUGCUGCUGUAAGAUAAUGUUUCUAAUCUUUGGCUGGUUGGUCGGGAUGAAUCCAGCACACUAACCUGCAGCUGUCCCAGUCAGACUCUCUGCUUAGCAGGCUCCUGAGAGACCAACGAGAGCGGCGGCUGGGAGAGGGACUACGAGACCAUGAGCAAGACGGUGGCAGGAGAAGGUCCUGUGAAGUGCUUUGCUGACCUUGAUCAACCCCUUCCAUUCCUGGUCCUGCUGCGGUGGGUUCGACUGUGGCGGCCAAAGCGUGACGGUCUGGGGCUUGGUGAGCAAGACCAGGACUCUGUGUCCGAGGAUGGUGGCAUGACAGUCAGCGUUGGAACAGGGAUGGGCUGAGCCAGGGUGAUAGCUUCUGGUCCCACAGGAGAAGACGUAGUCAUCUUCAAAGCUGUCUACUGAUACAUUUUCUCUUUUAGUCACAUUAAAGGCAUUCAGGCACAGACAUGUGGUCGCUGCAUCUCUAGAGCUGAGACUGAACCAUGACCAACUGUGGUGUUCCAGUCAUGCUUGUGUUUGAUAUAAUUUAGUAACAGGGUGGGUAUAAAAAAAUCUGGUACUCCCUGCAUUCAAAUCAGCACUGGCUUCUUUAAGUAAAACUAACCAUAUUAAAAAGAUGAUCAAACCUUCCCCAUAUUUCUUGUGAACUUCAAUUUUCUGCCUUCCCCAUUAUUGGUAAAAAAAACAGUGGUUGGGUGUUCCUUCACAGUCAAUG